UACGUAGGGCGCAAGCGUUGUCCGGAAUUAUUGGGCGUAAAGAGCUCGUAGGCGGCUUGUCACGUCGGGUGUGAAAGCCCGGGGCUUAACCCCGGGUCUGCAUUCGAUACGGGCUGGCUAGAGUGUGGUAGGGGAGAUCGGAAUUCCUGGUGUAGCGGUGAAAUGCGUAGAGAUCGGGAGGAACACCAGCGGCGAAGGCGGCUAACUGGACAAGUACUGACACUCAACUGCGAAAGCGUGGGGAGCAAACAGG
rnacentral:rRNA from 1 species